CUCAAGUAAUGGACAAUGACAACCGAGAUGCAAAUUCUGGUACUAUUGAAGUGCAGGAAGAGAAAACAGAGACCGUAGAGGAUGAGCUAUUAUAUGCCACAGUGAAUCAUUCAGGUGCUGGUGAAAACUCUGGUCCUGCAGUGAAGUUUGAAUCAGGAACGGAUUACGCCACAGUGGUCAUACACUGAACAACCUGUAACACUGAAUUGAUUUUUUUUCCCUCAGGGAUUUUAGCCA